rnacentral:rRNA from 1 species
GACGAACGCUGGCGGCGUGCUUAACACAUGCAAGUCGAACGGUGAAGCGCCUUCCUUUUUGGUGGGUGUGGAUGAGUGGCGAACGGGUGAGUAACACGUGAGUAACCUGCCCCCUUCUUCUGGAUAACCGCAUGAAAGUGUGGCUAAUACGGGAUAUUCUGGGUCUGUCGCAUGAUGGGUCUGGGAAAGAUAUUGUUUCGGUGGGGGAUGGGCUCGCGGCCUAUCAGCUUGUUGGUGGGGUGAUGGCCUACCAAGGCGGUGACGGGUAGCCGGCCUGAGAGGGUGGACGGUCACACUGGGACUGAGACACGGCCCAGACUCCUACGGGAGGCAGCAGUGGGGAAUAUUGCACAAUGGGCGCAAGCCUGAUGCAGCGACGCCGCGUGAGGGAUGGAGGCCUUCGGGUUGUGAACCUCUUUCGCCAGUGAAGCAGGCCUGCCUCGUUUGUGGGUGGGUUGACGGUAGCUGGAGAAGAAGCGCCGGCUAACCACGUG